AUGUCAGCUAGCAAGCAAGUCACAGUAACGAGGAACGCGAAGGGGGGGAUUCUGUCAGAGGGGAGAUUUUCGAUACAACACCUGUGCAGAAGCAAAGGCUACGUAUGUAUUACAGGUCAUCAACGGGUGCCAUGCUUUUACUCCUCGGUUUGCUCAGAGCCUGAUGAGGAGAGGCUAAUAUAGUUGUGUAUGGCAGUCCAGACGGCAGCAUCAAGCUUGACUUUGUAUUUGUAUCCAUUCCAUGCAGGUAUGUUGUGAAAUGUGACGAUUUAUAUGUAAUGUUUAAUGUGCUAAUUAGUUAGCUGUUGUUCAUUUUGUUACUUUUCUGGGCAUGUCAAAAUGGCGUUGUUGCCUCAUUAGUAUACCUCAGGUACACUAAGAAAUAUUUAGCAUUUAUUAGCAAAUUAUUCCUGUACAACAUUUAUAAAAUGAAAUGAGUCUUUUGAAAAUAUGAACACUUACAUUUUGUACAAUGCAUUUUUAGUUGUUGACGUGAGUUAGCUCAGAGCGUGAUGAAGAGAGGCUAAUAUAGUUGUGUUUGGGAGUCCAGACAGCAGCACCAACCUUAGUCUUGUAUUUGUAUCCAUUCCAUGCAGUCACUAAAAGAGAGACAACGGGCAGACUUGUGUCCAGAGACUUGUCUUCCACCUACACCUCACCAGAACACAACGCAGAAAGGUACAGGACUGUACAG
rnacentral:lncRNA from 13 species